rnacentral:rRNA from 1 species
GACGAACGCUGGCGGCGUGCCUAAUACAUGCAAGUCGAACGCACUCUCGUUUAGAUUGAAGGAGCUUGCUCCUGAUUGAUAAACAUUUGAGUGAGUGGCGGACGGGUGAGUAACACGUGGGUAACCUGCCCUAAAGUGGGGGAUAACAUUUGGAAACAGGUGCUAAUACCGCAUAAAACCUAACACCGCAUGGUGUAGGGUUGAAAGAUGGUUUCGGCUAUCACUUUAGGAUGGACCCGCGGUGCAUUAGUUAGUUGGUGAGGUAAAGGCUCACCAAGGCCGUGAUGCAUAGCCGACCUGAGAGGGUAAUCGGCCACACUGGGACUGAGACACGGCCCAGACUCCUACGGGAGGCAGCAGUAGGGAAUCUUCCACAAUGGACGAAAGUCUGAUGAGCAACGCCGCGUGAGUGAAGAAGGUUUCGGAUCGUAAAACUCUGUUGUUGGAGAGAAUGUAUCUGAUAGUAACUGAUCAGGUAGUGACGGUAUCCAACCAGAAAGCCA